GCCAAGUAAGCAAGGGAGAGGCUGGGCCUUGGAACGUGGGUGCCACUCCAUCCCCUCCUAGCAGGGCCAGGGGACUGAGGGUCGCAGCCCCCACCCGUCCUCUGUCCCUGUCCGGAAGAGGACCUGGCCUCUCACCCACUGUGGCAAACGAUGGAUUGCAAACCUCACAGCGCACUGGUUUCCAGCAGGAACCCCCAGACGACUGUCUGGCUGCUCUCCACGGGGUGAUCCAAGGUAGAGCGUGACACAGCGGCAGGGAAUGCAGCUACAAAGUCCAGCCCACGGCUCUGGUGACAAUUUGUGACUUCCAUCAAAGCCGGGAGUCCAGAGUUUUCUCUGAAAAGCGGCACAGAUUGACACUCAACGUACGCGAUAGCUGCGUUUAAAGGUUUGCAUGGAACCAUGUGUGGUGGACUGACAAUUGGUGUUCAGUUUGUAACACCGGGCUGAACUGAGUCAGUGUGGCGCUGGGUGCGGAAGGCACACCUGAGGUUUACUGCCAACAGCAUACAAGGGGAACCGCAGGGGAAGCUGGGGGCUGUGAGUCUCCUGGAGAAGUGUGUCCUGCUGGCUUUCCUCACAUGAACUCAGUUCUUAUUAUCGGAGGAGCUCAGGUCCUCACUGUCGGUGAGGAUGGCUGUGGUUCAUUAUGGAGGAACCCUGGUCCUUAUCUUGAGCGCUGCUUCCUGGCUGAGCGCAGAUCUCUCAGCCUGCUGGCACAGCCCCUUCAUCCCACUGGUUCAGACUUUCUGGCCUCCACUGCUGAUCUUUGAGCCUUCUCGGUGCGGAUCCUUGAUACAGACUUGAUGAGUUAUUGUUGUGGGCUCUAGGCCUCCAGCUGGACUUGUGGAGAACACUGCCAUGCAGGCUCUGGAUCGUCACCUGGACUCAUGCAGGCCACUGCAGUGGCACCCAGGCCCUCAGCUGGAUUCUUUGGGUCUCUGCCCUAACCCUGACUACGGCACCAUCUGACUAAUUCAACUCCUGCAAUCCCAAGCAGUAUACAGCUGGAAAUGCUCCUGAGGUGAUUAGAAACUGUCACACACUCAGAGAGGACGGACCUCCAUGUGGCCAGCUACUCGCUGAGGGAUACUGACAAAUCAUGGAGCUGUUCCGCCUAAGCAGUGAAGUCUCUGCCAUGUGCCAUCCGGCUGUCUAUAAUCCGCAUUGGCUCCUCACAGGUGGGAUGCACGGAAAGAGGCGGGAGAGGGGGGAACUCCGGUAUGUGAGGUGAGUUAGCCCACUUCUAGAACCCAGAGUGUGACAGGGAGAAGGGUGGGGAGGAGCUCCAACCCUCAGCCUGCAUGCGGUUUCAGAAGGACUAUUCCUUCGAGGUGCGUGUAGGUGUCCUGCAAGCCCCCACAGUGCCUGGAGUCUCUCGAGUCUUCCUACAAGAUGUCCAUGUCCACAUGGAACAGGAGCAGCCAGGGCCUGGAUCUCACGGAGCUCAUGGGAGGACAGGGCACAUUUCCAGGGUGCCUGCUCCGUGGGCUCAGAGCUCUGAGUAUCCUGAGUCCAAGCUCCCUUCACCCUGCGCAGCAACGGUCAGCACUGCUCAGAGAUUGGGUGACAUUCGGAGCCUGAACUCGCCCCAGCCACAAGGAGCCCAGCGCGAGAGUGGGCAGAGCUGUGGCUCCUACUCAUGGCUGUGCACCCCACGCUCCACGGGGCGUUCCAGGCAGUCACUCUAACCAACCCCAGGGCCGCCUUACAUGAAGCAGAGUUUAUUGUUCUAGGAACAUGUAUUCUCAGUGGAAACCACUGUUUACUAAUUAGUAACCUCUUCCUCUUCCUCUCCUUCUCCUUCUCCUUCUCCUUCUCCUUCUCCUUCUCCUUCUCCUUCUCCUUCUCCUUCUCCUUCUCCUUCUCCUUCUCCUUCUUCUCCUUCUCCUUUUUGUUACAUGUGGUACUAGGGCUGAACCAGGGUCAACUGCACUACACUGUCACCACAGCUCUUAAUUUUUUAAUUAAAAAGUGUCUUCUAAAUUGUUUAAUCAGGUUGGGCUCAAACUUGGAAUCCUCAUGUCUCAGCCUCCCAGGGUUUGGGGAUUCCAGGUGUGCACCACCAUGACCAGGUGACUGAUGAGCCUUUUAAUAACUGCCAGCUUGCUCAGGGAGUCCAAGGGAGGUUUUGUGAGUGAGGGCCCAAGGUUAAACGACGCCUGUGUGCAAGACAUCAGCAGUAACAACAGGCAGCAUGGAGCACAGCAGAGCACGGAGCCAAAGCCGCCUGCAUCUUUACCUAUGAUUGGUACGCAGGUGUUACCACGUUUACAUUCUCACACUGUACUGUAACAGCGCAUGCUGUUUACCUGCACUGAGUCAUGGUUACAUAAGUGCAGCCCACUGUGCGCCUAUGCUAGACAGGUGAGGUCACAUCCUCAGGUGUCCUUGGACGCAGCCUGAGUGGUUCCCCACACUAACUUCACGUUUAAAGUAUCCAAUUUAUCGUAAGAAAAUAUGUCAAGCAAUGGCAAAGUAAAUGUGUAAGUUUUCAGCAAAAAAGUCUGAGGUAGCCACAAAACCUACUCAGGGGUCGCCCCAUUCCUGCACAGGGACAGCUCAGAAAGCCCACACUGACUUCAAAACUGCGCGGCUGUGCACACUAAAAGCCACUAAUCACAGCUGGAAGAUCUCAGGAUUUACACACAUCCCGGCAGAAUGUACAAACCAGUCUGGAUAACAGAAAAGCUCUGACCACGUCAGCAAUCGUUCAGCUUAUUCAUGAAACGCGUCCUCACGUGUGACUCCAAAGGGCUGAGACGGAGGCCUCUCACUCUGAUGCCCUCCAUGAAUCAAGGCCAAAAUCUCCGCAAAGUAAGCAGAGUAUGUACAGUAAGGACUUAUUUUUACCAUGACUCUUACUGAAGCAAAGGUUGAACAAAUAUGAUUUACUCCAUAUUUAUUAGGAAUAGACAUUAACAAUGCAGCCCUUUUAACAAAAGCAUAGUAAGUGUGCGACAGAUUUCCAACAGACCAGGGUCAGGGCAAGCAGAGGGUUCUGACUAAUGCAGGGAUGAAAGAAAGGUACUAGGUUAAAAAGUACAACACAAUUUCCAGUUUAAAGACCUAUCGAACAGGAUGGACACCCGGGCUUCAGAGUUUAGUAUGUAUUAGAGAGUAGUUGUGCUGACUGAUGGCACAGUUAAGUAAAACUGUUGGUUCCCGGUAAAAACCAGCUUAAAUUAUACCUUAUUACAUCAACUGCUCUAUCAAGAAGAUGACAUUUAAGCCAAUACUAAAUAUUCAAAAUCAUGGCAGUAAUUGAACAAUUUUGUGUGAGGCUACAGAUUUGGUUAUGUCAUUAUAAGGGUGGCAGACUGGCUUAGUAGCAUUCUAAAAGACCUCUUUAGUGAUAAGUUUCUAGGUAAUUAUGAAAACUUCAAGGCUCUUCAUUGUGCUACUGUGAUGGGAAACUCAUCACCUCACAUUUAUCAAUAAGGUAACAGACAAAAAUCCCACAGAUGCACAGCAUACAAAUUACUUCUAGAUUUUUCCAUGGAGAGAAAUCCACAUUCAGCAGAAAUUUAUCUGCCUCAGAUACACUUAUUUGGGUGAGGAGCUACUUGGUGAGAUGUUGCAGUGUGUGUGUGUGUAAAGUUAAAUCACACCUCUACUAGCUAUGAAAAAUGCUCAUAAAUGGCCACUGAUAAAGUCUAAUGAGGGGGAACAUUGCUGAGAGGAUUCGGAUGCAGGGCUGAAGCAUUCCCUGGCUGCUGGCCCUUGGAGUUCAUCACCAAGGUGCUGCUGUUGAACUCGGAAUGCCUGGGCACAUCACUUGACCUUUCUGUGUUUCCAGUGUCUUAUCUGUGCAAUGAGGCUAAUAAUACUGAUUGACCUCAUAACAUUUAAUUAGCCCAUUGGGAGGCUCUUUGAAAAUGCUGAGUAUCAUCUGCUGGCUCUCAGCUUCAUGAAAGGUUGUGUUUUUAACACACUGUGGCUUGAGGAUGUGUUGGUGCAACGCCUGCCAACGUCUUGUUUCUACACCGUAUCUCUUCCAAGUUCCCUUUGAAGUCGCGGGAAUGCGGGUGACCCAGGUCCCGUGGUGGGGGCUUCGGGAGUGCAGGCGAGUUCUCUGGUGUGUUGACGGAGGAAUGCUUCGUAUGGGGAAGUGACCUGCUCUUCACAGGACGGGAGCACGCUGGCUUCUCCGUGGUCUGGGGCUGGCAUGAGUGACUGUACAUGGAACUUCAGCCUGAGAGGAUGAAAUUCUUGGUAAAGAUACCUGAAAACUUUAAAUUAAUUAAGGAAAAAUGGCACACAUUUUUAGGGAACAUGAAGGAUAGCUUAGGGUCUUCUUAGGGAGAAUUAGGGUUUUCCUCUGUACAGAGUGUGGUGGCUGUUUGAUACAUGUUUUUCAAAUAAACUCAGUGAGUGGGUAAACAGCGCCACACAUACAGGUGGUACAUUGCACAGCACCCAGCACAGCAUCCUGCAUGUGUGUUACUACUUUUGUGAUUUUUAUUUUUUUGUCUUCCAUUAUAGUAUUCAUUGACCAAGUCGUCUGUGAUGCCCCUUAUAGAAUGUGUUCAAUAUCUAACACACUUUUGCACAAAGUUUAGAAAAACAAAACUGGAGGGCAUUGCACUGUCAAAAUGGUGUGUCUUUGGAAGCAUUCCAUUCCUCCAACAGCCUUUCCAGGGAACCCGGCAGCCCCCACCUGUGGUCUUUGUUCUGAUUGCUUCCGGGCCUGGUCACAACCCACUGCCGAGCACGUGAAUACUGUGCUCCUUGCAUCUCUUCCUCCAACAGCUUUCAGAUGCGUCCCUUUCCUGCCGUUCCACGGCUGCACCUAAAACUUUAGAAAUCAUCUGUUUUGGGCUGAGCCUUGCCCCUCCCCCUCUGCCAAAUUUUCUGUGUUGAAGCUCUGAUGCCUGGUACUUCAGAACAUGAGUGCAUUUGGAAAACGGGCUCUAAAGAGGAAUUAAGGUAAAUGAGGUCUUCAGGGAAACUCCAGUUUAGUGGAAUCUUUUUUUUAUAAAAAGUGUAAAUUUGUAUACAGACAUGUGCAAAGAAAGAAGUGGAAACACAGGAGAAGAUGGCCCCUCUCAGAGCCAAAGAGGAGGCCCAGAAGGAGCCAGGGCUGCUGGCUUGGCUCUGCUGUUUAAUCUAUACAGACCCAGGAGACUGUUCACUGCCUACAACGCACAGCUCCACUGGGGCUUGCGAAUGGAUUUGUCUAAUGAUGACUUCAGUUUUAGUCAUAUGGAUUUUUCAAAAUCAUUACUUUUGAAAUUUAUCUUUUAUCUAAGUUACUCCUGUGUUCUGGGAGGCCCCACACUCCCCCAGAUAAAGGGAAGCACAUCAAGUGGGAGACUGACACUUUUCUAUUGGCCUGGCUAUGUCUUGCUGCCUUUAUUUCAAAAGUUUAGGGUUUUCAAAUAAGGUGGUGCUGUGGAAAGCUUUGGAAGAUUAGAAAAUGUCAGGUUUUCUAAACUCUAGGAAAUAAAGGUCCUCAACGUAUAUGCUCAGUGCAUCCCAGUCUGGAGCUCAAUGCUGCACUUCUUAGAAGCCCUAGCUACACCACCAGGUGGAACUGGCCUUGGCUUCGCUGCCCAGAGCUAUCCUAUGGGCUGGGGGUAAAUUCCUGGAGCACCUGCACGGGUUUAGAGGUCCUGGUGCUGAUGCCCCUUCCAUACUGUGUGCUUCAGCUUCUUUUCCGAUUUCGUAUUCAAGGUCAUUGCUAGAAGUCGGACCUUGCCCCAAACAAGGUGGCAGCAUCGCAGUCCUUGCCCUUCAGCCCCUCUGCCAAGGUGCUGCAGCCUGUACUCGAACCUGCCUCAGACUCAGUCAUAUACUUUAAUCAAAUCUGUAUUUUGAGCAUCAUACAGUAUAAAACUGUAGUUUCUGCUUUGGUAAAAGGAAAAAGUCGACUCUUACUGCUGGUAGAAGGCAACGGCAAUCACUCAUGGCACCCUCACCCCCUCCGUCCCGGACCAGCAGGAUGCAGCGCUGCGCGGAAACCAGCAGCAAGGGCAGCAGGGAGAGAGCCGCUGUGCACCUGCUCACCAGCCCUCGCCGCCGGAAGCGGAAGCGGAAGCGGCCGUUCAAUGCGGAAGUGACGUCCCGGAAGUGACGUCCCGGAAGUGCAUCGGUCAGAGUUGGUCCCAGCCGUGCUGGAGCAGCAAGGCCAAGCUGGCGAGACCCAGCAGAGGAGGAGCGCACUGGGGGGCAGUGCAGCACGCCUCUUCUCUGGAAUGGCUUCAAGAUUUUGCUAAGAGUAUUUCUAGUAUCAUUGUCAAAUACUGUGAUUUCAUUUUGACUUAAAGGGAACAAUAGGCAAUUUUACAUUUAAAACAUUUGCAUUUUUUGUAUUUCAGUAAUGAGAAUAUACUAAAAGGCUUUAAAACUAUUAAAAUGAGGGUAGAGAGCUAGUUAUGGAAAUAAAGCUUAUAAAUCCAGGUUACUAUGUAUUCGGUGUGCUUAAGAUUACGGAUAUUGUCAUGACAAUUAUUUUCAAUUUUUUAAUUUUGUUGACUAAUUGAGCUAAAUAGAAAAAACAUGAGCUUAAAAGAAAAA